UACGGGGGGGGUAAGCGUUGUUCGGAAUUACUGGGCGUAAAGGGCUCGUAGGCGGCCAACUAAGUCAUACGUGAAAUCCCUCAGCUUAACUGGGGAACUGCGUGUGAUACUGGAUGGCUUGGAUUUGGGAGAGGGAUGCGGAAUUCCAGGUGUAGCGGUGAAAUGCGCAGAUAUCAGGAGGAACACCAGCGGCGAAGGCGGCGCUCUGGGCCGGUACUGACGCUGAGGAGCGAAAGCGUGGGGAGCAAACAGG
rnacentral:rRNA from 1 species